GAUAGAAAGACAAUGGCCACUAAGAGGUAAAGAUGCAGAAGAAACCCCGCGGCGAAGCGGCUAGCAGCCCGACAUCUGUCUCUUUUCUUUAACAUUCAGGAUUAAUAUUCCUACGCCUCUCCUGGCUUGGGUGGGCAACAUCUGCUUGAAGGGGUUGAAUGUGAGUUCGUCUGUCCAACAGCUGAAGCGUGGUCCAAACCUGGUCGUCGAAAGAACAUUGAUCCCAAACACAGCAGCUAGUCUACGACAAGACUGACUGAAAAAGAAAAGACUCAAGGUGCUCCAAUGGCCUAGUCAAAGUUCAGACUGCAGCCUGACUUAAAUGCUGUGGUGGGACCUUCAGAGACUUGAGCAGAACCAUUAAUGAACUGCAUCUUCAAGGACAUUUUUAGCAGUUUUCUUCACUGUCCAGCUUCUAUAAUUGAACCAACAGUUCUGUGACAGCAUUGAUGUUCUCAACAUCAUCAUCAAUGGAGGUCAGGCUCCAAAGAGGAGGUUUCUCUGCUUAACCUCAUGACAGACUUUCUUUUCUGAUUGAUAAAAGAACCCUCAAUGAAACUCAUUAAUGAGGGGGCCACUUCAGGCUACCUGGUGGAAAAUCCUUGUCCUGGAUGUUCAGGUGAGCUGCAGUGAGCUUCCUUCUCAUCAGACCUAAAAUAGGAGAGCUCUUCCUCUCAGAUGCCUCUGACAGCAGAGCAGGUGGACAUGUUGAGUAAGAAACCACGGCAACAAGCGUUAAGAUGGUUUCCUCCAUGUGAAGUGAACAUGCUAAUCAGAGCGUGUCACCAUGGAGGAGAAGGGUUUAGCAGGACCCGAGUGGCCGUCUGAAUACAUUCAGAAAGUAUUCAUACAUCUGUGUGGAGGUUCUCACUAACAGCCAACAGGAAGUGACAUAAAGGUGCCAUAAGGUCAUCAGAUUAUGAUCUUCUGGGAUCACAUGACACAGAGCUCUUCAAGCACGGGUUCUUCAUCAACCUCCUCCAGUAUCCAGAAGGAUUUGCUGAAAGACUUAAUCUGAUUAAGGGGUCAGUUCCUUCUGUCUAUGGAAAUGACGGACAUAGCAAAGCGGUGAUGCUCUUGUGCAACAGUUUGACAGCUUUCUCUCUCAGCAUGGCAACAGCCAGGAGUUUCUCUCCUUCAAACCCAUGAAUCAGCGGCUUGAUGUUUUUCUUCAUCAAACUCUCAACCGGGCUUAUCCUGAGUUCUUGAGUUUUUUUUUUUCAACGCCUGCUGCUCUUAUCUCAUGGCCAAGCUACAGUGGAGAGAGGCUUCUCUGUCAACAAGGAAGUGGAAAUCUGCAACAUAACUGAACAAACUGUUGAGGCCCAGAGACUAGUCUGUGACCAGGUCAGAGCUUGUGGGGGUGUUCUCAAAGUGCCACUCACUAAAGAACUACUGGCUCCUGUAGCCUCAGCCAGGACAAAAUACAGGAUGUACCUGGAGGAAGAGAGGAGGAAGUGAGAGGUUGCAAUGCGUGGACUUAAAAGAAAAGCAGUGGAGGAUGAUCUGGAAGCACUGAGAAAGAAAAAAGCUGUGUUGAGGAGGAGGAGACACAAGGAGAAAUGCCUUGAACUCAAAAACGUUGAGACAGAGUUGCAGCAAAAAGGAAAUGAACUAAAACUUGUGCAGUAUUAAGCAUACACAAUUAUUAAAGAUGAUCAUUUUCAAACGGUUACAAUUGUUUCUGUGUGUGUGUUUUCAUAUAUACAUUAUCUGCACAGUUGGACAUGGGCAUUAAAAUAGUUAAAAAUAGCAUUAAACAGCAUUAAACUAGA